rnacentral:sRNA from 1 species
AGAGACGCAAAGGAAAGUUGGACAUACACUGGAAGAUCUAAUUGUACAAUGUACAAUUGGACGUAAGCCGUGUCGCAACUUCAAAAACUUCACAGUGACUACAACUUCUAGUUUUGGCAAUUGUUACACUAUAGAAUACAAAAAUUAUACAGCAUCGAAGAAUGGACCAGAUGGAGGACUGGAGUUGGUGUUGUUCCUCGAACUUGACGAGUACCUCCCCGGUAUAACAGGAGGUAAAGGCGCUCAGAUCGUCAUUCACCCUCAGGGCUCUUACCCGUUUGUGGAAGAGGAGGGCAUCCCCAUCGCAGCAGGGUCACAAACCAUCAUAAGUCUUAAACAGAUACAAAUUGAACGUCUAGGCGAUCCCUACAACAAAUGCACAAAUAAUGGUGACCAGGAUUUUGGGACCUAUAGUUAUACCAGAAGUCUGUGUCAGAAGAAGUGUGCGCUGUCCAUUAUCAUCCAGAACUGCUCAUGUUAUGACAAGGACUUCAAGGGACUGAACUCAUUGCUUAAUGUUUCCUCCACUUUAAAAGCUUGUUCAGGUUCUGAGCGUAAGUAUCUACUAGUAUUUAAUAUUGUUACGAUUCUCUCCCCUGAGAAGGCCUACUGUAACCACUGCA